AAGAAGGUUACUUAACGCAUGGUGUGGAUGCCUUGACUGAAGCAAGCGAUGAAGGACGUAGGAGGCUGCGAUAAGCCCCGGGGAGCUGUCAACCAAGCUUUGAUCCGAGGAUUUCCGAAUGAGGCAACUCUCUCACUUUUUAGUGAGAAACCGUAUCUGAAUACAUAGGGUACGGUAGCGCACCCUGGGAAUUGAAACAUCUUAGUACCAGGAGGAAAAGAAAUUAAUAAAGAUUCCGUAAGUAGUGGCGAGCGAACGCGGAAUA
rfam:Candidatus Moranbacteria bacterium CG2_30_45_14 cg2_3.0_scaffold_14821_c, whole genome shotgun sequence.